UAAACUUAUUUGAGGGAUCCCUCAAUGGAAGCUCUAUGUAUAUAUAUAUAUAUAUACAGUCCCGUUCUCUUGGACCCCAUCUGAUCACCCACCCUUAGAUUUAAUCCAAGGGUUAAGAAAAAUUUGCUUUAAAAUAUCUUUUUUCUUUUACCUUUUAAAUUUCACUUAACAAAAAAACUAAAAACUAAAAACCCAAAAUCUGUUCUUCUUCCUCUCGCUGCCCCCACGUUCUACUUCCUCCCAUUGUUGCAGCAACAACAACUCCGACUCCGGCGUAGCCAGCGAAAAUCCAGAGCGACUUAUUCCCUCGCACUUCAACAAGAGUCUGUUGGAAGAGUUCCUGGGACUGCAGCAUCUUUCAUGUUUUCAGGGAGGUUAACUUUGCUGCUGACUCUCUGGCCAAGAUGGGGCAUGAGAUGGAAAUGGGUAUUCACUGCUUUGUUUUGCCUCCUGGUGGUAUUGCCGGUGUUCUCCAAGAAGACAGGGAUGGCCUUUUAAGGUCUAGAUUGAUUUAUGUUUAGUUGUUGUCUGGGCUUAGCAAAAGUUGAGCUGCCGAAGCUCAUGCUAAGUGCAAAUGUGUUCAGUUUUGCUGUUAUGUACACCUUUGCCAUCAAUUGAUAAACAAGAAGCAUGGAGAAAGGCUUUGUUGGUUCACCUGUCAUUCCUUAUUUUGCAUUCGUUGUAUUACAUUUCUGUAGUUUUGGAGUUCGUUUGUUAUUGUUUGUACAUAAGAAUACUACAUUUAUAGGUGAAGAUUCUAGAGUUUUGUAUUGUUCUUGAAUGUAAAUUAUGUAACACUUCUUCAUUGAGAGUUUUGUACUGUUCUUGAAUGUUCUUAUUUGAUUUUAGUAAAAUAUAUUUUUCCACAUGAAAGUGGAAUACAUUGCCAAAAAAAAAGAGCACAAAUGUUCUAAUCUGAAUUGUCUAUGUAGCAAUUGUUCACACCAGAUGGUUCACCAACCAAACUCAAAUUCAUAUUUUUAAUUUGAUCAAUAAGUCCUUCGAAUGACUUUUCUACAAGUUGCGUCCCUUCUUCUGAUACUGCAGCGCCAUCAAUCAACUUUGAUGCAAGUUGAAACAAACUUGUGUGUCUCAAUAUUAGGGAGUUGUCUCAAACAAACUUGUGUAUAUAUAUGCGGGAUCCUUUUUCUUUUCUUUUUUAAAUAAUUUUUUUCCCUGCUUUUCGAUAGGAGUAGUUCUGCCUUUAUUUCUCUCUUUUCAGGACUUAAAUGACAGCCCAUCAUUUACACAAGCUCUCAAAAGCUGAUCCAACUGCAGUUUCCAUCGUUUAAAGCUUUAAUAUCAUCUUGCCAAUAUGUAGGAGAGUUUGUUCAAGUGCUUGAAUUUGGUGAAAGAAAUGAUGGUGAAUAAAGGGUACGAGUCCAUGUUAGAUACUUUGUCAUGCACAACGAGGAACCCCAAUAAUGAGCGUGCUGGACCGUCAGCUCACCAAAUCAGAUCAAACCGAGAACACAAUUAGCACCACAACAAUCGCCACCACGACCACAUAUACUUCUUCCACUAUGAUUGCCGAGAAAAGCGAUGGCAAGCGGCGCAGAUUAAAUGCUACUUGUGCAGUGAAAAUAGGUUCCAGCUCUCCCAUCAUUUUCAAAAGUGUUGAUUUGCUUAAGUGUUUACUUGUCUAUGCCUCAUAAUAGUUGUUCUCCUCUUCACUAACAAAGCUGGAUCUAAGUCACCAGAUAAGCAGUGUCCCAUUUUACUGCCCAGAAAACAAGGAAUGAAUUUUGAAAAAAUAGAGAGAUAAUUUAUUUUGUUUUAUGGGGUUUUGAAGUUGGGGAAGGGAAGGUCUGAAUGGAGUUUUGAAUGGUGUGUGUGUUGCUUUUGGCCUGUUCGGGUUCUUUGGUGGAGUUGGGUCUUGGGAUGUGGGAUGAUGCGUCUCUUGUUUGGUGGCAUCAAAAUGCUAAGAAAAGCAUCAAUGAUUUUAUAACUCAAGUAGUUAAGAGAAUUUAUCCCUACAUCCGAAGUCAUGUGUUCGAAUCCCUUCUCCCAGAGAGCUCAUAAUAGAUUA